rnacentral:tRNA from 1 species
GAAAAUUUAGUUAAAAAAUAACACCGGCUUGUCAUGCCGGAAUCACCAAUAGGUAAUUUUCU